rnacentral:lncRNA from 1 species
UAUAUAUAUAUAUAUAUAUAUAUAUAUAUAUAUAGAGAGAGAGAGAGAGAGAGAGAGAGAGAGAGAGAGUCCGGCUACUAUACUUUUAUAAGUAUUGGCUCCCUUAUACUCAUAAAUUUUCAGCCCUUAGAUUUUUUCCAUUGAUCAUUUCCAUCCGUUAGAUUAUACUAUUCAACCAACUACCACUCAACCCUAGAAGACCAAUAUCAUUCUAAGUAGAGACCAUCUCAUUCUAACCACACAUCUCAUGAAUCAACUGUUAUAUAUAUACUAGUUUCAAACAAUUAUCUAACCCAAAUAAUUUGAUUAGUUAGUAACGAACUUGGCAUUUCCAAAAUAAAAGUAAUAUACAUGCAACACCUCUGAAAUAUUACAAAUCAUGAACCAAAACAACACCUGGGCAUGUUUGUUUCACAGAAACUUGACUUUGGGUUGAGGUGGAGUUCAAUGAAAACUACUUCUUUUCCGCUGUUUGUUUCGUAGUUAUGGAAGUGGAGUUUCAUUAAUUCUGUUGUUUGUUUAGUAAGAAGUGUAUGAUGUAAAACUAUAAUUUAUGUAUAAAUAAUAAAUAAUUUAAUAAAUAAAAAUAAUAUAAUUAUAUUUAUAUAAUUAAAAUUUAAUCUAAAACAACUAAAUUAUUUUUUUUAUACAUAAAUUAUAAUAAUACAACAAUGAAACUAUGAAGUAAAAAAAAUUAAUACUUGAUUAAUCAAUUUUAAUUUAUCAUAUUUUAGAUAUGUCAACCAAAUAAAAAAAUAAUUAAUAACAUAAUUAGAUAUAAUUAUCUUUAUCUAGUAUAUUAUUUUAUUAUUUUUUCUUUAACUUCUUUCACCGUAAUUGACUUCGGCCCACGAUUGGCCGAAGUAAUUACGUCAUUUCGGGUUAACUCGAGUUUUGGCCGUAACUAUUUUACGAUGAACCAAACAACGGAAGUGGUAGCUUACAGCGUAAACGACUUCCCCCCUCUCCACUUCCCCCUCACUUCCAUCCAAACAAACGCACUCUAAGGGGGCGUUUGGAUUGACGUAUUUGUAGAUUCAACGUAAGUCAAGUGUAGUGGUGUUUGAGUUUCCCUGAAGUGUGAUUAUUUUUUUUUUUAUUUGUUUUGAUGUAACUCGUACCGCCUGAAAGUUAAAUUCAAUCACUUCUGUUGUUUGUUUUGAUGUAACUUGGUGCUGGUAAAAUUAGUUUUUUGAGUUCCGUUGUUUGUUUUGAUGUAAGUAAGUGGAUCUCAAUAUCUCCUAAAUAUAGUAGUAAAUUUGCCACUAUAAAAUUCAAUCUAUUAUAUAAUUAAUUUUUUUUUAUUAUUUAAAGAUAAUCCUAAUUUAUUAUAAAUAAGGUAAUUCUAACCCAUUAUAAAGGAAGUAGAGUUUAGGUUUUACUGUUUAAUAAAUUUUUUAGAGGAGGUUGAGUGUAGUGAAAGUCGAGUUCGGCACUUUAGAGGAGGAAGUCGAGAGUAGGUGAAGUGGAGCUCUAACGUAACUUGAGUUACAUUAUAUUUUUCACUUACAUCAAAACAAAUAACAGAAGUGAUGGAACUUCAGUUCCAUCACUCUACUUACACCAAAACAAACGGGCCCUAAGGU